UACGAAGGGUGCAACCGUUGCUCGGAAUUAUUGGGCGUAAAGCGCACGUAGGCGGCUUUGCAAGUCCCAUGUGAAAUCCCACGGCUCAACCGUGGAAGUGCAUGGGAAACUGCAGAGCUUGAGUACUUAAGAGGAUCGCGGAAUUCCCGGUGUAGAGGUGAAAUUCGUAGAUAUCGGGAGGAACACCAGUGGCGAAGGCGGCGAUCUGGGAAGAUACUGACGCUGAGGUGCGAAAGCGUGGGGAGCAAACAGG
rnacentral:rRNA from 1 species